UACCGUUGGAACCGCGAAGCCCCGUCCCCCGGCCGCGGCCGCUUCUCCAGGACCCGCGGCGACUGCAAGAGGGCGAGAACGGAAGCCCCAAGUGGCUCCGCGAACCGCGAGCCUCUCCCUGAGGCGGCCGCUGACAGGAGGUUGAAGCGACGGCUGCAGCAAGGGGCCAGCCCGGUAGCGACCCCCGGAUUCCCCCCGGCGGUGGCGGCGGAGACGCGAAAGAAGGGGCGGGAGCAGCAACGGAGGCGGCAGCUGAGGCGCUGAGCCUCCCUAACGGCGAACGGGAGGAGAGGCCCCCGACUGUUUUAAACUCAACCCAGACUGCAGCCAGCAUUCAAACCUGUUGGAAUCUGUGGAAAAAUUCUUCAAACUGAAAUUCUACAACACAGCAACUUAAUGACAUCAAACAGGACUAAAGACCAACAUCUUCUGAAGAGAACAGAUUCUGAUUUGAUCAAUUAGGUCAUGUAGGCUGUGAGAAGGAAACAAAAAGACCCUGAAAAUGGUAACUCACGUUGAUGGUCAGAUCCCAGGUGUCUGUAAAACCCUUUAUCUGUGGCAUCUCCACUCAGCCAGCUGAUGAUGAUUUUCGAACCUGAUGGUGGUGUUGUGAAGAAGUUUCUCUCCUGGGAAGAGUGUCAAGUGCUGUUUAUUCAAGCCACCAGAAAUGCACUCUGAGAGACAGCUCCCUGUUCCCUUGUGCAAGUUUCCUUAAUAAUUUUUACCACUUGUACCUGCUGUAUGGCAGGGACUUCCCAGACUUCGGAAGUUCCCAAACUUUUUUUAUUCACAGAACCCAUAGGGUUUCAGUAAUUUUCCACUAUGUCCUGGGCCAAAAGAAAUCCCUAACAGCUCCAUUAAUUAAACAACUAGAUCCAAAUAACAUAAGAAC
ensembl:lncRNA